rfam:Danio rerio chromosome 4, GRCz11 reference primary assembly.
GCAUUGGUGGUUCAGUGGUAGAAUUCUCGCCUGCCACGCGGGAGACCCGGGUCCGAUUCCCGGCCAAUGCA